rfam:Triticum aestivum genome assembly, contig: Triticum_aestivum_CS42_TGACv1_scaffold_592072_7BS
AAAGUACUCCCUGCGUCCCAAAAUUCUUGUCUUAGAUUUGUCUAGAUACGGAUGUAUCAAGUUACAUUUUAGUAUUAGACACAUUCCUAUCUUGACAAAUCUAAGACAAGAAUUUUGGGACAGAGGGAGUAGUUG